rnacentral:rRNA from 1 species
UGGGGAAUAUUGCACAAUGGGCGCAAGCCUGAUGCAGCCAUGCCGCGUGUGUGAAGAAGGCCUUCGGGUUGUAAAGCACUUUCAGCGAGGAGGAAGGGUAGUGUGUUAAUAGCACAUUGCAUUGACGUUACUCGCAGAAGAAGCACCGGCUAACUCCGUGCCAGCAGCCGCGGUAAUACGGAGGGGGCAAGCGGUAAUCGGAAUUACUGGGCGUAAAGCGCACGCAGGCGGUUUGUUAAGUCAGAUGUGAAAUCCCCGCGCUUAACGUGGGAACUGCAUUUGAAACUGGCAAGCUAGAGUCUUGUAGAGGGGGGUAGAAUUCCAGGUGUAGCGGUGAAAUGCGUAGAGAUCUGGAGGAAUACCGGUGGCGAAGGCGGCCCCCUGGACAAAGACUGACGCUCAGGUGCGAAAGCGUGGGGAGCAAACA